rnacentral:misc_RNA from 1 species
GAUGAAGAACGCAGCGAAAUGCGAUACGUAAUGUGAAUUGCAGAAUUCAGUGAAUCAUCGAAUCUUUGAACGCAUAUUGCGCUCUCUGGUAUUCCGGAGAGCAUGCUUGUUUGAGUAUCAGUAAACACCUCAACUUCCAUAUCUUUUUUGAAAUGGGAGUUGGACUUGAGUGAUCCCAACGCUUUUCCUCACCGAAAAGUGGCGGGUUACUUGAAAUGCAGGUGCAGCUGGACUUUUCUCGGAGCUAUAAGCACAUCUAUUUAGUCUGCCUAAAAAACAGAUUAUUACCUUUGCUGCAGCUAACAUAAAGGAGAUUAGUUCUUGUGCUGACUGAUGCAGGAUUCACAAAGACAGGCUUCGGCCGACUUUGUAAACUCGAUCUCAAAUCAAGUAAGACUACCCGCUGAACUUAAGCAUAUCAAUAAGCGGAGGA